UGUUGGCGAAAAGGUGGACGGAACACUGGACAAAAUUUUGCAAGAGGAAUGCCUGCCAAUUUUUGGCGAAAAGGUUCUGUCCUCCGGUGGACGGAUUACUGAACAAGGUUUGCAAGAUUCGGAUUCGUCCGCCGGAGCACAACAAUGUUUUCCAAGAGUAAUCUUGGUUAUGUUUGCAAGAGGAACUUUUAUUCUGAAGGAUGAUUUUUUUUCGUAAUUUUUGCAGAUGGAACCGGUCUACCUACACCAAAAUGGACACCGCGCCGCCGUCAGGUUUCCGGUCUGUAAUUACUCGGUGAAUGCCAGCCUACGCCGAGAUGCUGGUAUCGCAGAGUCCGCCGGUGCAAAACUACUCGCUAACCUACUACAUUGCCAAACAGUCGACCCACUGCGGCCAGCGUCCCUGCAGUUGACCCCGCCGCCGUUGCGCCGUCAACCGACGCCCUUCAAUCCCGCCGCGGCGAUAAUGCCUGGUGGUGCGUCCGGAAGAUCUGAGAAGGGCCUUUCAGAGAUUCGCGCUUUCUUCAACAGAGACCGCGCCAGUCAAGUACGACCAGCAGGGCGCGAAACACGAGGAGUUUGCGGAACUUUAUCCGGGACACUGGCGUGGCGGACCGGUUCGAGGAGUUUCCGAUGCUGCGAGAUAAGAUCCUGCGGACAACAAAUUGAUCUCCAGCAACUUUUGCGAUGUUGACCACACGAUGACGAGGGAACGGAUGAGAAGAUCAGGACGAGACCAUUUCAACUUUGAACGUGAUGGACACGGACCAGUCGUUCUUCUGGUAGUUCGACUCGAAGGUGUCAAAGAUAACUCAGCUUGGCAACUAGUAACGUGCUACAGACGUAUGUAGCCCAAACGGCGGGUUCGGUCGUUGUCAGCGACACUGGCCGAAGGCGCAUUUAAUAGAGAACACGGUUCCGGCAUCUCCGGGAAGGCCGAGACACGCCAUAGAAAUCCGUCCUCCGGAGGAUCAGUUUCUCAUGCCAACAUGUUUGGAGGUGGAAUCUGGCCAAAGUUGAGAACAGUUUUGGUCGGUCUUGAGCCUGUACCCUCGUCGAACACGAACUUGGUCGCUCUCAAUCCGGCGAUCCACGACCUGACGGCCUUAACCCGGUACGCUCGUUGAAAUCAUUCACCAUCUGCGAAUUCGGACUUGGUCGCCUUCAACCCGGUGAUCCACGAUCUGCGAUAGAUUCCGCCAACAUCCUGUGAUAUACCUCGUGCGCGAUCAACCCUGAUCCGGUACGCUCGUCAAAUUCCAUCUCAAUCUGCGGUAGAUCUCGUGCGCAGUUGGACAAGAUGAUGUCCG